rnacentral:rRNA from 1 species
UACGAAGGGGGCUAGCGUUGUUCGGAAUUACUGGGCGUAAAGCGUGCGUAGGCGGUUUGUUAAGUCUGUUGUGAAAUCCCCGGGCUCAACCUGGGAAUGGCAAUGGAUACUGGCAGGCUAGAGUGUGUCAGAGGAUGGUGGAAUUCCCGGUGUAGCGGUGAAAUGCGUAGAGAUCGGGAGGAACAUCAGUGGCGAAGGCGGCCAUCUGGGACAACACUGACGCUGAGGCACGAAAGCGUGGGGAGCAAACAGG